rnacentral:rRNA from 1 species
AAACUCAAAUGAAUUGACGGGACCCGCACAAGCGUGGAUGAUGUGGUUUAAUUCGGUGCUAAACGCGAAAAACCUUACCCACCUUUGACAUGGCAGGAAUCCUAAAGAGAUUUGGGAGUGCUCGAAAGGAGAACCUGCACACAGGUGCUGCAUGGCUGUCGUCAGCUCGUGUCGUGAGUUGUUGGGUUAAGUCCCGCAACGAGCGCAACCCUUGCCAUUAGUUGCUACGAAAGGGCACUCUAAUGGGACUGCCGGUGACAAACCGGAGGAAGGUGGGGAUGACGUCAAGUCCUCAUGGCCCUUAUAGGUGGGGCUACACACGUCAUACAAUGGCCGGUACAGAGGGUAGCCAACCCGCGAGGGGGGAGCCAAUCCCACAAAGCCGGUCGUAGUCCGGAUCGCAGUCUGCAACUCGACUGCGUGAAGUCGGAAUCGCUAGUAAUCGCGGAUCAGCAUGUCGCGGUGAAUACGUUCCCGGGUCUU